rnacentral:rRNA from 1 species
AUUGAACGCUGGCGGCAGGCCUAACACAUGCAAGUCGAGCGAGCGGCGCACGGGUGAGUAAUGUGUGGGAAACUGCCCGUGGGAGGGGGAUAACUACUGGAAAAGGUAGCUAAUACCCCAUAUCACCUCAUGUGCCCAGAUGGGAUUAGCUAGUAGGUGGGGUAACGGCUCACCUAGGCGACGAUCCCUAGCUGGUCUGAGAGGGUGACCCGCCACACUGGAACUGAGACACGGUCCAGACUCCUACGGGAGGCAGCAGUGGGGAAUAUUGCACAAUGGGCGCAAGCCUGAUGCAGCCAUGCCGCGUGUGUGAAGAAGGCCUUCGGGUUGUAAAGUACUUUCAGCGGGGAGGCGUUACCCGCAGAAGAAGCACCGGCUAACUCCGUGCCAGCAGCCGCGGUAAUAC